UCAAGCAGGAUGUUACGUAUGGAACCAGU
rnacentral:piRNA from 1 species